UAGAACUUGAGGUAGGGUUAUUUUGGUCCUUCCCAGCGCAGCAUUCUCUCUUCUUUCUGCUGCUGCUUCUUUAAAAUACGGUGCUUCUCCCCAUCAAAAGUAUACAUCGCCUUCGCCUUCACCAGAUUUGUUUGGUUCGUCUCUUUCAUCUCUUGCCACUUAUUUAUGGUGCUGGUAUAGAUUAACAUAAACUCAAAGAGGGGACUUCUCUUUGUUGAGAGCCAAGAUUAUGGCAUCCUCUAAGAAUGAAGAAAGUGGUGCUCAGGAUGCAGCAGAAAGGAUUAAGGCUCAGGCCUUGUCAGCUGCAAAAGGUUUGAGUCGGGCUCAGGCUGAGCGUGCUGCUACUGCUGCUGCGAGAAAUGUCAAUGCAUAUGGACAAAAGGAGGAAGGACCCAGUCGAUGGCAGGAAAGAAAAGAAGCAAAGAGGCAGAUGUAUUUAAUGAGUACUGAGAAACAGGUGCGACUGGGUGAAAGGAAAGACAAGCCUUCAGGUUCCACUCUUGGUGCAGCUUCACAAUGUCAGAAAUGUUUCCAGGCAGGGCAUUGGACUUAUGAGUGCAAGAAUGAGAGGGUGUACAUAUCACGACCAUCUCGCACGCAGCAGCUGAAAAAUCCAAAGUUGAGGAUGAAAGUUUCAGCAUCUUAUGAUCUAGAAAACCCAGAUAUUGAGAAGGAGAUGAAGAGUGAAAAACCUGUGAAGAAGAGUAAGAGGAAGCAUAAGUCAGAUACAGAGUCAGGGACUGAUAGUGAGGCUUCUGUGUUUGAAUCUGGCAGUGAGGCGUCAUCAGUCACAGGGUCAGAUUAUUCUUCUGGGGAAAGUGACUCAAGCGAUAGUUCUUCAACUGAUUCAGAGGAAGAGAGGAGGAGGAAGAGGAAGAACA
rnacentral:misc_RNA from 1 species